UAGGGAAUAUUGGACAAUGGGUGAGAGCCUGAUCCAGCCAUGCCGCGUGCAGGAAGAAGGCGUUAUGCGUUGUAAACUGCUUUUGCCAGGGGAUAAAAAGACUCUGCGGAGUUUAUUGAAGGUACCUGGUGAAUAAGCCACGGCUAACUUCGUGCCAGCAGCCGCGGUAAUACGAAGGGGGCUAGCGUUGUUCGGAAUUACUGGGCGUAAAGCGCACGUAGGCGGAUCGGCAAGUCAGGGGUGAAAUCCCGGGGCUCAACCUCGGAACUGCCUCUGAUACUGCCAGUCUAGAGUCCGGAAGAGGUGGGUGGAAUUCCUAGUGUAGAGGUGAAAUUCGCAGAUAUUAGGAAGAACACCGGUGGCGAAGGCGGCCCACUGGUCCGGUACUGACGCUGAGGUGCGAAAGCGUGGGAGCAAACAGGAUUAGAUACCCCAGUAGUCCCUGAGCGGGCUGGCAAGGCGCAU
rnacentral:rRNA from 1 species